rnacentral:rRNA from 1 species
GCGCAACAGGCGAGAAUUUUGACAAUGGGGGAAACCCUGAUCGAGCGACGCCGCGUGGAGGAUGAAGGUCUUCGGAUUGUAAACUCCUGUCAUUGGGGAACAAGGUGCAUACGUUAACUGCGUGUGUAUUGAUAGUACCCGAAGAGGAAGGGACGGCUAACUCUGUGCCAGCAGCCGCGGUAAUACAGAGGUCCCAAGCGUUGUUCGGAUCCAUUGGGCGUAAAGGGUGCGUAGGCGGCGCGGUAAGUCGGGUGUGAAAUCUCGGAGCUUAACUCCGAAACUGCAUUCGAUACUGCCGUGCUUGAGGACUGGAGAGGAGACUGGAAUUUACGGUGUAGCGGUGAAAUGCGUAGAUAUCGUAAGGAAGACCAGUGGCGAAGGCGGGUCUCUGGACAGUUCCUGACGCUGAGGCACGAAGGCCAGGGGAGCAAACGGGAUUAGAUACCCCGGUAGU